AUUGAACGCUGGCGGCAUGCCUUACACAUGCAAGUCGAACGGCAGCGCGGGGCAACCUGGCGGCGAGUGGCGAACGGGUGAGUAAUAUAUCGGAACAUACCCUAGAGUGGGGGAUAACGUAGCGAAAGUUACGCUAAUACCGCAUACGCACUAAGGUGGAAAGUGGGGGAUUCGCAAGAACCUCAUGCUCAUGGAGUGGCCGAUAUCUGAUUAGCUAGUUGGUGAGGUAAAGGCUCACCAAGGCAACGAUCAGUAGCUGGUUUGAGAGAACGACCAGCCACACUGGAACUGAGACACGGUCCAGACUCCUACGGAGGCAGCAGUGGGGAAUUUUGGGACAAUGGGGGCAACCCUGAUCCAGCAAUGCCGCGUGAGUGAAGAAGGCC
rnacentral:rRNA from 1 species